AUUUCCACAGCAGUAUACCAGAAUCCACCAACACCGGCCAAGAGGCCUCCCACACCGAAGUACUUAUACAUACACACAACACAGAGUGUCCAACCUAGCCACUGUAUCAUGUAAACCCCACUCCACCUACAACUUCACACAUACAUCCCACGAGCCACCAUCCUUGUACAAUAGAAGGAGUCGCCCUCGGCAAGUAGCCCUACACACACACAACUGCACCUACACUCGCCACCAAUCACCUACCGCCUAU
rnacentral:lncRNA from 1 species